rnacentral:rRNA from 1 species
CGGGGUUGCGGACAGUGCCUGGUGGGUAGUUUGACUGGGGCGGUCUCCUCCCAAAGAGUAACGGAGGAGCACGAAGGUGGGCUAAUCACGGUUGGACAUCGUGAGGUUAGUGCAAUGGCAUAAGCCCGCUUGACUGCGAGAAUGACAAUUCGAGCAGGUGCGAAAGCAGGUCAUAGUGAUCCGGUGGUUCUGAAUGGAAGGGCCAUCGCUCAACGGAUAAAAGGUACUCCGGGGAUAACAGGCUGAUACCGCCCAAGAGUUCAUAUCGACGGCGGUGUUUGGCACCUCGAUGUCGGCUCAUCACAUCCUGGGGCUGAAGUCGGUCCCAAGGGUAUGGCUGUUCGCCAUUUAAAGUGGUACGCGAGCUGGGUUUAGAACGUCGUGAGACAGUUCGGUCCCUAUCUGCCGUGGGCGUUGGAAGAUUGAAGGGGGCUGCUCCUAGUACGAGAGGACCGGAGUGGACGAACCUCUGGUGUUCGGGUUGUGUCGCCAGACGCAUUGCCCGGUAGCUAAGUUCGGAAUCGAUAACCGCUGAAAGCAUCUAAGCGGGAAGCGAGCCCUGAGAUGAGUCUUCCCUGAUACUUUAAGUAUCCUAAAGGGUUGUCGGAGACUACGACGUUGAUAGGUCAGGUGUGUAAGUGCUGUGAGGCAUUGAGCUAACUGAUACUAAUUGCCCGUGAGGCUUAACCAUACAACACCCAAGGGGUUU